GCCCCCGUAGUUCAACGGAUAGAACGGCGGAUUCCUAAUCCGCAAAUGAAGGUUCGAUUCCUUCCGGGGGUACCA
rnacentral:tRNA from 4 species